UACGAAGGGGGCUAGCGUUGUUCGGAAUGACUGGGCGUAAAGGGCUCGUAGGCGGCCAACUAAGUCAGACGUGAAAUCCCCAGGCUCAACCUGGGAACUGCGUCUGAUACUGGAUGGCUUGAAUCCGGGAGAGGGAUGCAGAAUUCCAGGUGUAGCGGUGAAAUGCGUAGAUAUCUGGAGGAAUACCGGUGGCGAAGGCGGCAUCCUGGACCGGCAUUGACGCUGAGGAGCGAAAGCUAGGGGAGCAAACGGG
rnacentral:rRNA from 1 species